UCGCCGCCCCCGGCCGCCCUCCCCCCCCCACCCCUGCCGCCCGCGGGCCGCCGGGCCCCGGUCUCCGCCCGGGCUCGGUCAGUCGGUACCUUCAUGAAGGUCUCUACCGCGCCUUUGGCCGUGUCCAGGACCCUGAUUGAUAUAUAUGCUGAACCCUAACAUGAACAGCCAAGAGCCCUAUGAAGGCUUGUCUGUGUUCAUCACUGUUUUGCAGCAUCUAGAACAGUGCAGUAUUCAAGAAAACGUUUGCAUGAGUGUAUCAAUGUGCCUAGUGCUGUGAGAGAAGGAAAUGGAUUUUAUUUUUAAGUCAUCUCUACACCGAAGGUGGGGCUUGAACUCACCACCCUGAGAUCCCCUGUCGAGUGCUGUACCGAUGACUAAGCCAGCCAGGCGUCCCUGCAUCAGCUUUUCAACUGAAGAUUAUGUCAUGCAGAAUCAACUCACACCAUAAGGAUAUGUCCACAUGGAUCAUAAAUAAAAGCAGGGUGUUUACAGAAUGGACCCACUUGUGCUCUCUGUGAGCCUCCAACUAUCGUCAUCUCUGUAACUAUAGUUAUCUCCACCCCUGAUGUGACUGUAUUGGAGAUAAGGCCUUUGAGGAGGUGAUUAAGGUGAAAUGAGCUCAUGAGGGUGGAGCCCUGAUCCCAUAGAACUGGCUUCUAAGAAGAGGAAGAGACACCAGAGGUCUCUCUCUCUCUCUUUCCCCACCAUGUGCAGACACGGUAGAAGGCAGCCAUCUGGCUAACAGACACAUGAAAAAUGUUCAUCAUCAUUAGCCAUCAGGGAAAUCCAAAUCAAAACCACAUUGAGAUACCACCUUACACCAGUUAGAAUCACAAAAAUGGACAGGGAAAGAAACAACAAAUGUUGGAGAGGUUGUGGAGAAAGGGGAACCCUCUUACACUGUUGGUGGGAAUGCAAGUUGGUACAGCCACUUUGGAAAACAGUGUGGAGGUGCCUCAAAAAUUUAAAAAUAGAGCUACCCUAUGACCCAGCAAUUCCACUCCUGGGUAUUUACCCCAAAGACACAGAUGUAGUGAAAAGAAGGGCCAUAUGCACCCCAUUGUUCAUAGCAGCAAUGUCUGCAAUAGCCACUCUGUGAAAAGAGCCAAGAUGCCCUUCAACAGACAAAUGGAUAAAGAAGAUGUGGUCCAUAUAUACAGUGGACUAUUACUCAGCCAUCAGAAAGGAUGAAUACCCAACUUUUGCAUCAACAUGGAUGGGACUGGAGGAGAUUAUGCUAAGUGAAAUAAGUCAAGCAGAGAAAGUCAAUUACCAUAUGGUUUCACUUAUUUGUGGAACAUAAGGAAUAACAUGGAGGACAUUAGGAGAAGGGAAAAAUGGGGAGGGGGAAUUGGAGGGAGAGAUGAACCAUGAGAGACUAUGGACUCUGAGAAACAAACAGGGUUUUAGAGGAGGGGGGAGAGGGGGUUGGUUAGCCCGGUGAUGGGUAUUAAGCAGGGCAUGUACUGCAUGGAGCACUGGGUGUUAUAUGAAAACAAUGGAUCGUGGAUCACCACAUCAAAAACUAAUGAUGUAUCGUAUGGUGACAUACAUAAUAAAAUUAAAAAAUAAAAAAAGAAGGCAGCCAUCUGCAGGCCAGCAAGAGGGCUCUCACUGGAACCUGGCUGCGUUGGCACCCUGAUCUCAGACUCACAGCCUCCAGAACUGUGAGAAAUAAAUGUCUGUGCCUGAAGCCACCCGGUCUAUGGUACCUUGUUAUGGCAGCCCAAGUAGACCAAGACACUAACUUCCAGGAACCAUGUGGGUUCUGUGGGCACAGCAUUCCAGGCAGACAGCGUGGGCCCCAGGAACACAAGGUGCCCCUGCCCUGACUGCCAAAUGUCCAGCUUUGGGGACAGGUCCAGAAUCGGUAAUAGUAAUGUAAGUUCUGUCAGCUGUGGCAGCUCUUCAUAUGCAAAGUAUAUUCAGAAAUCAGGUGCUUUUAUACGUAAACCUGACAGCACACCCGUAUACCAACGGAUGCAUGCACUCAUCCAAGAAAUAGGUCUCGAACACCAGCUGUGUGUCUGUUGAGCACAUCGGUGCGGGGGCGAUAGCAAUAAUCAGAACAGACCAAGUCCCUGUCCUCAGAGAGCUGAUCUUCUACUGGGGAACACAGGCGAUCAACGAAAUGAGUAAGCAAAAUGUAUGAUAUGCUAGAUGGUGGUAAGUGCUAAGGAGGAAAAUAAGGCAGCCAAGAAGGCAACCUUCAAUAGAGAGGCUAGGGGACAUCUCACAAAGAAGGUGACAGGGGAAUAAAGACCUGGAGGAGGUGAGGGAGGGAGCCAUGUGUAUAUCAGCAAAAGAACAUUCCAGAAUGACAGAAAGGCAAAGGGCCUGAGAUGUGCUGGAAAAUCACCAAGAAGGGCAGUAUGGCAAAGAAGAGAAGACAUGAGGGGAGAGAGUUGAGGGGUGGUACAGAUCACCAUUAUGCAGAGCUCCUAGAACAUUCUAUUGACUUCAACUUCUCCACUUAGCAGAGGCAGGGGUUCUUUACAUUGUUACCAAGUCUCUCUGGCUGCUGCCUGGGCAGCAUUGCUAUGGAGUAACGCAUUGGAAUACAGGCUACAGGGGCUUUCCAGGGCUGCCCUCACCAAUCACCACAAACUGGUGGCUUAAAACAAGACAAAUGUAUUCUUCCAUGUUGCUGGAGGCUGGAAGUCUGAAAUCAAGGUAUCUGCAGGGUUGGUUUCUUCUGGAGUCUCUGAGGGAGAAUCUGUCCCAUGCUUCUCUCAGCUUCUGGUGGCUACAGCAAUCCUUGGCAUUCCUUGACUUGGAGCUACAUCAUUCGAAUCUCUGCUUCUGGCUUCAGGUGGUCUUUUUCCGUGUGUGUGUGUGUGUGUGUGUGUGUGUGUGUGUCUGCCUGUCUGUCUGAACCUCUCUCUCCUUUUUCUUAUGAAGAUACCAGUUUUUUGGAUUUAGGGCCCACUUUAAUGCAGUAUGACCUAAUCUUAGCUAAUUACAUCUACAAAGACCCUAUUUCCAUUGGCAGAUGAAUUUGGGGGAUAGUAUACAACUCACUAUGCAUACCUAUCACUAAAAUACCAUGUUUAGGCUUAUGAUCUGAAAAAACGAGGCUUGUUUUUUUAGGUACAUUCCUGCAGUUUAUAGGAAGGAAAACACCAUGUGAAGUGAGAGUUGAUUCCUUGGCAAGAUGGAAUUGGCUGAAAACAAAGUAUACAUAAGAAGGUUAAAGUUUGGGGCGCCUGGGUGGCUCAGUUGGUUAAGCGACUGCCUUUGGCUCAGGUCAUGAUCCUGGAGUCCCUGGAUCGAGUCCCGCAUCGGGCUCCCUGCUCAACAGGGAGUCUGCUUCUCCCUCUGACCCUCCCCCCUCUCAUGUGCUCUCUGUCUCUCUCAUUCUCUCUGUC